GCGCCCGUUGCAGCGCGGCCAGCGUGACACCGCGCAGCAAAGCGGGUUAGGGCCGAUUCGGCUGCGGUCUACGGAACCGAAGGUCACAGGUUCGAAUCCUGUCGGGCGCG
rnacentral:tRNA from 1 species